UACGUAGGUGGCAAGCGUUGUCCGGAAUUAUUGGGCGUAAAGCGCGCGCAGGUGGUUCUUUAAGUCUGAUGUGAAAGCCCACGGCUCAACCGUGGAGGGUCAUUGGAAACUGGGGAACUUGAGUGCAGAAGAGGAAAGUGGAAUUCCAAGUGUAGCGGUGAAAUGCGUAGAGAUUUGGAGGAACACCAGUGGCGAAGGCGACUUUCUGGUCUGUAACUGACACUGAGGCGCGAAAGCGUGGGGAGCAAACAGG
rnacentral:rRNA from 1 species